AGGCGGGACCGCGACGCGGGAUGAGAAGGAGUGGAGCAGUCGGGGCGCUCACGUCAGGCAGAGGAGCCUCUCCUAUAGCCACCACCACCACCUGUUCAUGGGGGUUUCUGCCAGGCCACGGCUGAUGAUCACAUAAAGCUCAAGCAUUCUUCUGUCAGCUUGCGGUGAAUGCUGCCAGGCCUAGAACUCACCCUUCAGGGCAGUGGGCUCCCCUCUGGCCCAGGGCAGAUCCAGAAAUGCUGUCAAGAGCCUAAGCCUGGACUCGAGGACUCCCCCAAGAACCCUCUUGGUGCUCUACCCCUCUGUGGCUGAACUGGUACCUAAGGUGCAAGACAAAGCCUCCUUUAUGUUUCCCUCUGCUUUUCUCAAAUAGAAGGAGUCUUCCAUUGUAGCCACCACAGCUGGGAAUGUGCUGGGUCACCCCUGAAGCCAGCAUAUCUCAGAGCCCAAGGCCCACAGCAUACUCGCUGGUAUUGCUGCUAUUCAGGGCCCAAGGACUGAUGAAUCCUGCCAGGACUGAGUCCUUCCUUUCAAGGCAGUAGGUUCCCUUUUGGCCCAAGGUGUGUCUAGAAAUGUUGUCUAGGAGCUAGGGCCUGGGAUGGGAGCCUCAUCACCCUGCUCAAUGUCCUAUCGUACUGUGGCUGAGCUGGUAUCCCAGAUACAAGACAAAGUCCUCUUUACUCUUUGCUCUCCUCUACUUAAGCAGAAGGAAAGAGUCACUUUGUUGCAGAGAGCUGCACUGCCUGGGGUUUGGGGAGGUAUGGCACAAGGUGUGCCAGCUGGUGUCACUCUAGGUCACUUACCAUGCUAGUUCACUGGCUGUAAGGCAAGCCUAGCAUUAGGAAUUGCCUAGGACUUGCAGUCCUUGUGUUCAGACUGCCUUUCAGGUUUACCUAGGACCCCAGAGCACUUCAGCCUGCUGUGGUGUGCCUUGCUGAGAAGCUCAAGUUCCAAUUGCUAGGCUAUUGCCCUCUGGCUAGGGAUGGUCCAAAUCCUCCCUCCAUGCGUGGGUGCUGGCUGAACCCAGCACAGCUUUAACUCUGCUGUGACAAGGCAGCACUGAAUAUAAUGUGAAGUCCAUCAGUCACUGCGCUCUCCCUCCCCAAAGUGCACAGAUUCUCUCUCCAUACCACAUGGCCACUGGUGGAGGAUGCGGGAGGGGUGGUGUCAGCAAUUCAAGACUAUUUCUCUUGCCUUCCUCAAUGCCUCUUUUGGAAAUUUGAAGUCAAAACCAGGUACCAUGAUUGUUCACCUGAUUUUUGGUUCUGUGUGCAGAUAGUCAUUAAAAUUUGAUGUUCCAGUAAGAGAUGAAUGGUGUGGGCUUCUAUUUCGCCAUCUUGCUUCCUUUCCCCUCAUUACUUAUUUAUUUAAUCAUUUGCCUAUAUCAGGAUGGAUUCUUAGAAUAUUUAUUUUAUACUUUGGGUUAUACUCCCAUACUACUUUAUUUUAUUGCUCAAAUUGUUCCAGCUAUAGCCAUUGGCAGCUCUUUCAGUUUGUUCCUCUAUCACUUUGACAUAUUCCCAUCAUUGUAUAGUUUUUUUUUGUUUCUGUUUAUUUGUUUUAGCACUUCCUUACUCUUUGAUACCACAAGAUGCUCAUAACUCAUCUUAUAUGUUUUCCUGCCACAGUACUAAAAUCAGCAUUUUUCCAAGUAGCAUUAAUUUGUAUUUAUUUACUUACUUGUGUUUUUUAAAUCAGAGAACCUGUGAAACUUAGAUAAGUGGUUAAAUCAUUUAAAUCAUUCUGUGGAGCUUAAUUCAACAUGGCAUUGAGCCCUACUACGUACCAAGUGCUGUAUUUAAGCACAAUUGAAGAAGAUACAGUUCCUGCCCUCAAAUAGUUCUAAUGGUGAAGUUGAAAGCAAUUUUUUUGUUUCAAGUCCAGAGGAGCCAUGAUAACCCCAUUCACUGUUAAUCAACUCUGUUACCUGAGCAGUCGCUUGAUCAGCCAACUAGCAACUGCUUAUUGAAUGCCUAAUAUUAAUGACAAACAUAAAAUUAGUGACAUUUUAAUGAACACUGAUAACCUCUGAACGAUGUACAAUUUUCAGUCUUUCAAAUCUUAGUCUUUUAUA
rnacentral:lncRNA from 1 species